UGACGCUGUAGAACGUAGGCCCAGCAGAGACUGAACUUCCUAUGGCAACUCAAGUAGCAACAAAGGCGUCCUGUUCAUCUUCUACACAGUCAUUAUUCAGACAGGACCAGACUGCAAUGAAUAAUUAGGUCUGCUAACAGGAACAUCUGGGCUGACAUUUCCUCCUUCCAGGACUUGCACAAGUCUAGGGUUCAGGAAAAGGACAGCUAGCAUCUCUGCAGACCACACACACCCUGGACAGAAACUGUUUAGACUUUUGCCAUCAUUGAGUGAUAAAAACUUU